CCAAUAGCGUAUAUUAAAGUUGUUGCAGUUAAAAAGCUCGUAGUUGAAUUUCGGGAUUGACGUGAUGGUCAUGCCUUAAGGGGUAUGAACUGUUGCUGUUGAUUUCUCACCUUCUGGAGAAACUUGAUGUCCUUUAUUGGGUGUCUUGCGGAUCCAGGACCUUUACCUUGAAAAAAUUAGAGUGUUUAAAGCAGGCAUUUUUGCUCGAAUACAUUAGCAUGGAAUAAUAGAAUAGGACGGCAUGGUUCUAUUUUGUUGGUUUAUAGGAUCACCGUAAUGAUUAAUAGGGAUAGUUGGGGGCAUUAGUAUUCAAUUGUCAGAGGUGAAAUUCUUGGAUUUAUUGAAGACUAACUACUGCGAAAGCAUUUGCCAAGGAUGUUUUCAUUAAUCAAGAACGAAAGUUAGGGGAUCGAAGACGAUCAGAUACCGUCGUAGUCUUAACCAUAAACUAUGCCGACUAGGAAUCAGACGAUGUUAAUUUUUUAAUGACUCGUUUGGCACCUUACG
rnacentral:misc_RNA from 1 species